CUCUAAUUCGCACUUUCUUGCCGCUUGACCGGAAUCCACCACAAAGUAGAUUGGUACCAAAAAGGUACCAAUCAUCAGUCAACAAUACGACAGAACUACGCUGAGAACCGACAAUACGAUUUGUUUAAAAAAUUACCGGCUUGCCGGCUUUUCUCUUGGGUUCUGUGAAUCUUCUGCUGGAGCAUCUAAAUAUUCGUCUCUCAACUCUCGAAGUACCGUUCCAGAUACUGCACGCCUACGAGCUCGCUCACUGGACUUACGAACCCUUUCAGCAGUCGUCUCAUCCCCAUCUGAAAUAAGAGACAAGAUCAAGAAGGCAAGUUUGGGCGGGACGUAGAUUCCGGAUUUUUUCAACUGCGCUCUGGAACCCUGAGAAUUAUUGCCGUCUUCACUAUCGGCUUCCAGAUCAGAGUCUUCAAUUUUGCCAGUAAGAGCUUCAAGGUUGGCUUUGAAUUUGCU